rnacentral:rRNA from 1 species
GGAGGGUGCAAGCAUUAAUCGGAAUUAUUGGGCGUAAAGGGCGCGUAGGCGGAUAUGUAAGUCAGAUGUGAAAUACCGAGGCUUAACCUCGGUGCUGCAUUUGAAACUACAUUGUCUUGAGGAUAGACGGAGAAAACGGAAUUCCACAUGUAGCGGUGAAAUGCGUGGAUAUGUGGAAGAACACCUGUGGCGAAAGCGGUUUUCUAGUUUAUUCCUGACGCUGAGGCGCGAGAGCAAGGGGGGAGCAAACAGGAUUAGAUACCCCGGUAGUCCUUGCCGUAAACGAUGUAUACUUGAUGUAGUUGGACUCAACCCCCCCCCGACUGUGUCGUAGCUAACGCGAUAAGUAUACCGCCUGAGGAGUACGCUCGCAAGGGUG